AGUCAACAAUGUUCUCUGAGACCAACUGCGGAUGCACAUUCCCAGGAAUGAACUGUUGAUCCCCUAAUCCCUGUGUCAAGCUGAACCACAACAGCUUUGUUCCAAGAGCUUGAAAAUCAUUUGUGAUCUUUUGAAAGGUUGGAGCCAGCAUUGUGUACUGGCACAAUUGCUUGACCUUGGAGAAAUUGCACAUUCUCAGCCCGAGAGGAAAGCAAUGAAGAUACAUCCACUGAACUGCAGGGAAUGGAGGUGCUGCUGGAGUGACACAUGGAGUCAUGGAGGCAAACAAAGCAAGCCAAGUAAGACAGUAAGAUGGAAACAUUCUUUUCUGCUCACAUGCUUCAAAUAUACCAAUGAUUGUUUGUUACACUUUCCACCAUGAUUGGAGCCAGCAAAGACAAUGGAUGGAACCUCCAGACCUACCAGAGAGUGAAUCCUAGCCACUACCAUUUUGGACCAAUCAAAAGCCAACAUGCCAGAGCACCUUUGUUUUGAAUGGCUGUCAAAGUGCUGUAAAUAAACCAGUAUGUUCACAAUAGCACUUAUGUUGGUUUUUGGAGGGCAGUCUCUGCAGUCAUACUUUUUGGCCUAGGAGAAUAAAGCUUUUGAUCAUAUCCUUUAUCUCAUUUGUGUCUUAUUCAAUCCUUUGGGAGCUUGACAAGCUGGGCUCUGAACCACCAUGGCCAUUUUGUUAGCUG